GGGGAAUAUUGGGCAAUGGGCGAAAGCCUGACCCAGCAACGCCGCGUGAGGGAAGAAGGGUUUCGGCUCAUAAACCUCUGUCCUAUGGGACGAAGGAAGUGACGGUACCAUAGGAGGAAGCCCCGGCUAACUACGUGCCAGCAGCCGCGGUAAUACGUAGGGGGCGAGCGUUGUCCGGAAUGAUUGGGCGUAAAGGGCGCGUAGGCGGCCUGCUAAGUCUGAAGUGAAAGUCCUGCUUUCAAGGUGGGAAGUGCUUUGGAUACUGGUGGGCUGGAGUGCAGGAGAGGAAAGCGGAAUUACCGGUGUAGCGGUGAAAUGCGUAGAGAUCGGUAGGAACACCAGUGGCGAAGGCGGCUUUCUGGACUGAAACUGACGCUGAGGCGCGAAAGCGUGGGGAGCAAAC
rnacentral:rRNA from 1 species